AAAACACUGGCUACUUCAAAUUCAGUUGAUUCAAUUAAGGAAUCCAGUGACACAAAUAACAACGCAACUUACAGCUACGUGCCAGGAAAAUGGUUCUCCGAAAUUUAGUCCUCCAGGACCGUUGGAUUGCCAAGCAAAAGGAGCAGAUAAUAAAGCCGUGCUGCUUUUACAAUUUCACUCUAAUCCCAACAGAAACUGAAAAUUGUUUUGAAAAUUGCACUCAAACCUUCCAAUCCCAACAGAAAAGUUACUUCUCACUCCUUAGAACACAAAUCAA
rnacentral:misc_RNA from 1 species